GGCAGCUGUUAACAUGAAGGAUUCUACUGUUGGAGUGUCCAGAGAGGAGACACACACACACACACACACACACACACACUGGUUUCUUCUCACACAGGUUGCUAAAAAUACUGUUGUUUUGGUUUGUGCACUGAAAGCCCCUGUCACUGAGGAAUGGACUGAACUGGGGGGUCGGCCGUGUAGCUGGAAGUCCCACAUCCUACAGAGAGAGUGUCUGUCAACUGAACUGUAAACUACACAUUCCAACCCUACACUACACUGGCAGCCUUGGGCUAACAAAGGACAGUUGGACUGUAGUGUGUAGUGUGUGUAUGUGUAGGGUGAGUAUAGUGUGUGUGUGUGUGUGUAGUGUGAGUAUAGUGUAGUGUGUGUGUGGUGUAUAAUGUAGUGUGUAGGGUGUAGUGUGUAGUGUAGUGUAGUGUGUAGGGUGUAGUGUAGUGUGUAGGGUGUAGGGUGUAGUGUAGUGUAGUGUGUAGGGUGUAGGGUGUAGGGUGUAGUGUAGUGUGUAGUGUGUAGUGUAGUGUAGUGUGUAGUGUAGUGUAGUGUGUAGUGUGUAGUGUGUAGUGUAGUGUGUGUUGUAAUGUGUAGUGUAGUGUGUAGUGUGUAGUGUGUAGUGUAGUGUAAUGUGUAGUGUAGUGUGUAGUGUGUAGUGUGGUGGUGUGUUUUUAUCUGGAGAUAGUUAUGUCAAGUGGGACAGGAGAUUCAGUUGUAUUAGUUCCAUAUGAAUGUGUUUGGAGCGAUGGAAGGGAAGAGAACAGAGAAGAGGAGGGAAGAGAACAGAGAAGAGGAGGGAAGAGGAGGGAGAAGAGGAGGGAAGAGAAGAGAAGAGAAGAGAAGAGAAGAGAAGAGAAGAGAAGAGAAGAGAAGAGAAGAGAAGAGAAGAGGAGGGAAUAGAAGAGAAGAGGAGGGAAGAGAAGGGAGAAGAGGAGGGAAGAGAAGAGAAGAGAAGGGAAGAGAAGAGAAGAGGAGGGAAGAGAAGAGA
ensembl:lncRNA